rnacentral:rRNA from 1 species
UACGUAGGGGGCGAGCGUUGUCCGGAUUUAUUGGGCGUAAAGCGCCCGCAGGCGGUGCGCUAAGUGUGGGGUGACAGGUGUCGGCUUAACCGACACAGUGUCCUACAGACUGGCGCACUUGAGGGCCACAGAGGAACACAGAAUUCCGGGUGGAGUGGUGAAAUGCGUAGAUAUCUAGGGGAACACCAAAAGCGAAGGCAGGUGGCUGGACCGUUUCUGACGCUGAAACACGAAAGCGUGGGUAGCGAAUGGG